rnacentral:lncRNA from 1 species
GACAUGUCAUUACUUAAUAAUUUUGGUUGAAAGGGUGAGUAGUCAAUAAACAGGAGUUUUAGCCCCUAUCAUAUCUAAAAUUAUGCGUAAAGUGAUAUAACUUAUUUACCAUACAUAUUAGAGACCUAGGGUCUUUUGAUUUGAGAUCCUCAGUUUGUGACCUUGAAAUUGAGGUCAAGGUCAUAGGUAAAUUUGACGUUCUAGAUUAUGACCUUUGCUUAAAAUUCAUAUCUAUACAUCAUAAAGCCA